GUACUAUGUUGUGGACAUGAAUUUAUGAGAUCCUUUAAUCACUCCCAUUGGAAGGUCUCAUCCUCUUUUUGUGCAAAAUUCAUUAUUAUUUUCCUUAAAGUAU